rnacentral:rRNA from 1 species
GAUGAACGCUGGCGGCGUGCCUAAUACAUGCAAGUCGAGCGAAUGGAUUAAGAGCUUGCUCUUAUGAAGUUAGCGGCGGACGGGUGAGUAACACGUGGGUAACCUGCCCAUAAGACUGGGAUAACUCCGGGAAACCGGGUCUAAUACCGGAUAACACUUUGAACCGCAGGGAUCGAAAUUGAAAGGCGGCUUCGGCUGUCACUUAUGGAUGAACCCGCGUCGCAUUAGCUAGUUGGUGAGGUAACGGCUCAACAAGGCAACGAUUCGUAGCCGGCCUGAGAGGGUGAUCGGCCAGACUGGGACUGAGACACGGCCCAGACUACUACGGGAGGCAGCAGUAGGGAAUCUUCGGCAAUGGAGGAAAGUCUGAGGGAGCAACGCCGCGUGAGUGAUGAAGGCUUUAGGGUCGUAAAACUCUGUUGUUAGGGAAGAACAAGUGCUAGUUAAAUAAGCAGGCACCUUGACGGUACCCAAACAAAAAGCAACGGCUAACUACGUGCCAGCAGCCGCCGUAA